rnacentral:rRNA from 1 species
AUGGCUCAGGAUGAACGCUAGCUACAGGCUUAACACAUGCAAGUCGAGGGGCAGCAUUUUAGUUUGCUUGCAAACUGAAGAUGGCGACCGGCGCACGGGUGAGUAACACGUAUCCAACCUGCCGAUAACUCCGGAAUAGCCUUUCGAAAGAAAGAUUAAUACCGGAUAGUAUACGAAUAUCGCAUGGUAUUUUUAUUAAAGAAUUUCGGUUAUCGAUGGGGAUGCGUUCCAUUAGUUUGUUGGCGGGGUAACGGCCCACCAAGACUACGAUGGAUAGGGGUUCUGAGAGGAAGGUCCCCCACAUUGGAACUGAGACACGGUCCAAACUCCUACGGGAGGCAGCAGUGAGGAAUAUUGGUCAAUGGGCGAGAGCCUGAACCAGCCAAGUAGCGUGAAGGGUGAAGGCUCUAUGGGUCGUAAACUUCUUUUAUAUGGGAAUAAAGUUUUCCACGUGUGGAAUUUUGUAUGUACCAUAUGAAUAAGGAUCGGCUAACUCCGUGCCAGCAGCCGCGGUAAUACGGAGGAUCCGAGCGUUAUCCGGAUUUAUUGGGUUUAAAGGGAGCGUAGGUGGAUUGUUAAGUCAGUUGUGAAAGUUUGCGGCUCAACCGUAAAAUUGCAGUUGAAACUGGCAGUCUUGAGUACAGUAGAGGUGGGCGGAAUUCGUGGUGUAGCGGUGAAAUGCUUAGAUAUCACGAAGAACUCCGAUUGCGAAGGCAGCUCACUAGACUGUCACUGACACUGAUGCUCGAAAGUGUGGGUAUCAAACAGGAUUAGAUACCCUGGUAGUCCACACAGUAAACGAUGAAUACUCGCUGUUUGCGAUAUACAGUAAGCGGCCAAGCGAAAGCAUUAAGUAUUCCACCUGGGGAGUACGCCGGCAACGGUGAAACUCAAAGGAAUUGACGGGGGCCCGCACAAGCGGAGGAACAUGUGGUUUAAUUCGAUGAUACGCGAGGAACCUUACCCGGGCUUAAAUUGCAACAGAAUAUAUUGGAAACAGUAUAGCCGUAAGGCUGUUGUGAAGGUGCUGCAUGGUUGUCGUCAGCUCGUGCCGUGAGGUGUCGGCUUAAGUGCCAUAACGAGCGCAACCCUUAUCUUUAGUUACUAACAGGUGAUGCUGAGGACUCUAGAGAGACUGCCGUCGUAAGAUGUGAGGAAGGUGGGGAUGACGUCAAAUCAGCACGGCCCUUACGUCCGGGGCUACACACGUGUUACAAUGGGGGGUACAGAAGGCGGCUACCUGGUGACAGGAUGCUAAUCCCAAAAACCUCUCUCAGUUCGGAUCGAAGUCUGCAACCCGACUUCGUGAAGCUGGAUUCGCUAGUAAUCGCGCAUCAGCCAUGGCGCGGUGAAUACGUUCCCGGGCCUUGUACACACCGCCCGUCAAGCCAUGAAAGCCGGGGGUACCUGAAGUACGUAACCGCAAGGAGCGUCCUAGGGUAAAACUGGUAA